rnacentral:rRNA from 1 species
AAUAAGACUUUAAUUGAGUGCUAAAAGAAUGGAUUUUCAGAAAAUUUCUUUUUUAAAAUUAAUAAUUUAAUUUAUUUUUGUAUGUGAAGAAACAACAAUAAAAAUUAAGGACAAGAAGACCCUAAGAAUUUUUAAAAAAAUAAUUUUAAAUUUAAAAUUAUUUUUUUUUAAUUGGGGCGAUUAAUAAAUAUAAUUAACUUUAUUUUAAAUAAAUAUGAACCAUUAUUAAUGGUUAAAUGAAUAAAAUACUCUAGGGAUAACAGCGUAAUAAUUUUUGAUAGUUCCUAUAGACAAAAUAGUUUGCGACCUCGAUGUUGGAUUAGGAUUCUUAUUUAAUGAAGAAGUUAAAAAAAGAAGUUUGUUCAACUUUUAAAUUCCUACUUGAUCUGAGUUCAGACCG